rnacentral:rRNA from 1 species
UACGGAGGGAGCUAGCGUUAUUCGGAAUUACUGGGCGUAAAGCGCACGUAGGCGGCUUUGUAAGUUAGAGGUGAAAGCCUGGAGCUCAACUCCAGAAUUGCCUUUAAGACUGCAUCGCUUGAAUCCAGGAGAGGUGAGUGGAAUUCCGAGUGUAGAGGUGAAAUUCGUAGAUAUUCGGAAGAACACCAGUGGCGAAGGCGGCUCACUGGACUGGUAUUGACGCUGAGGUGGCGAAAGCGUUGGGGAGCAAACAGG